GGAUAUGAGGGUGAUCUGGUUGUGACAUCUGUCACCCCAUUGAUCACUAGGCUUGAUUUGGCUGAUCUGUCUGGCUAGGCCAUCCUCUUCCUCCCUCACUGCUCCAUGUGCAUCCCUCACAAAGCUGUGUGCUGUAUUGAAGAGGGUGACCAUCCCAGAUAGGAGAGGACCAUUCUUCUGUCAAAGGUAUACAGGUAGCUGUGCUCCCCUGCUAGAACCUCCAAAUAAGCUCUCAAGGUCUAUUUGUAGAACAUAGGGUAGUCAAGUUUCCAAGACUCCAGACACAUCCAAAUGAGGUGCUGCCUGUGGCAGUCUGCAUUUCUUA
rnacentral:snRNA from 1 species